ensembl:misc_RNA Metazoa_SRP Metazoan signal recognition particle RNA
GCUGGGAGUGGUGGAGCACGCCUGUAAUCCCAGCUACUCGGGAGGCUGAGGCAGGAGAAUUGCUUGAACUCGGGAGGCGGAGGUUGCAGUGAGCCGAGAUCGUGCCACUGCACUCCAGCCUGGGUGACAGAGCAAGAGUCUGUCUCAA